rnacentral:SRP_RNA from 1 species
GCCGGGCAUGGUGGCCCAUGCCUGUAAUCCCAGCUACUCAGAGGCUGAGGCAGGAGAAUCGCUUGAGCCCAGGAGGCAGAGGUGCGGUGAGCCAAGAUCACGCCACUGCACUCCAGUCUGGGCAACAAGAGCGAAAUCCCGUCUCAA